AUUGAACGCUGGCGGCAGGCCUAACACAUGCAAGUCGAACGGUAACAGAAAGCAGCUUGCUGCUUUGCUGACGAGUGGCGGACGGGUGAGUAAUGUCUGGGAAACUGCCUGAUGGAGGGGGAUAACUACUGGAAACGGUAGCUAAUACCGCAUAACGUCGCAAGACCAAAGAGGGGGACCUUCGGGCCUCUUGCCAUCGGAUGUGCCCAGAUGGGAUUAGCUUGUUGGUGGGGUAACGGCUCACCAAGGCGACGAUCCCUAGCUGGUCUGAAAGGAUGACCAGCCACACUGGAACUGAGACACGGUCCAGACUCCUACGGGAGGCAGCAGUGGGGAAUAUUGCACAAUGGGCGCAAGCCUGAUGCAGCCAUGCCGCGUGUAUGAAGAAGGCCUUCGGGUUGUAAAGUACUUUCAGCGGGGAGGAAGGGAGUAAAGUUAAUACCUUUGCUCAUUGACGUUACCCGCAGAAGAAGCACCGGCUAACUCCGUG
rnacentral:rRNA from 1 species